rnacentral:lncRNA from 1 species
GGAAAUAAAAAAAAUCAAUAAAGAGGAGAAAAGAAAAGAAGAAUACUCCCACCGGUGAGACACCGGUGUCCAUCAACAAAAAUAUCAAGAUCCGUCUCCCUCCACGAUGGCAAACACUAUUUUCGGCUAGAUCCACCAGGAAAAACCCUCCAGAUCUGUCGGCAACCCAAAAAAUGGUCAACCGACCAGAAAACCCUAAAAAAUCAGCGACCCAUCGCUGGGAUCUUCACCAAAUGGCGUGCUUCCUCAUUUCCAGCCACCGGCGCAUCAGAUCUACCGCCGCCAACCUCGGUGCGAACAUCCCUUCCCCUUUCCCGUCAUCGGCGAUUAUCCCUUUUCCUUUUUCUGUCAUUGUCCACUGCUAUUCCAACAAAAUCUGCUGGUAAACAAUAUUAUCGAUGUAUGUAUCUGCAUGUCAUUUGUCAGUUGAUUAGUACUUUUCUUCAUAGGUCUACUCUAAAAUGGUGUCAUGAAUUAUGUUCUCCACAAUGCUAUCUGCCAAACUAGAGCACAAAAAAAUAGAAUAAAAGAUAACCUAACAAACAAGAUAUUUGAUGUAUUAGCUCUAUCUUUAAAUUUCAAAGUGGCAAAUGUAACUUCUCUGUAUAAGCCUUAUCGUUUUGCCUUUCUUUUGUUUUUUUUUUAAGUUACUCCACCAAUUUCCUUUUUCAUUUAAUAUACUACAAAAUAAACAUUUCUCCUUUACCUAUUUACUUUAGCAGAGCAUUAGAGAAAUUAUUGUUAUUAUUAUUUUCAAUUUCAAUUUAACUUUUUAUUAAAUAAGUACUUUUCAAAAUAUUUUUACUGGUUAUAAAAUUCAAAUUUUUAUAAGUAUCAUUAGUAUACUCCCUGCGAUUUUAUGUUUGAUUUGUCUCAUCAUGUGUAAUUGGGAUUUACUUUAGUUUAUAUACAAUAGGAAUUGAAGAUUUUAAUAAAAUUAAAAUAAUGCAGUUAGCUUUGUAUUUGUUACAUUAUUUAAUUCAUUAUUGUUAUUAUUUUAUUGUUAUUUUAUUUUAUUUCAUUGCCAUUAAUAAAUUUUGAGAAUUAUUUUGUUAAAUUAACUAAUCACCCUAAAUGAAAUUUUGUUUAAAUUUAUUAUUAACAUUAAAUAGCAAUUCGAAUAGAAUAGAUUGUCAUGAGUUUACAAGUGAUGCAAAAGAUUAAUCACGCCUUUAAAGUUAGACAAAUUUUAGGUAUUUUUAAAAAUAUUCAUCGAUAAUAAAAGAGAGAAAAAACUUAUUUUCAAGGGAGCGAACUCGAAAAGUGUGAUUUAGGUUCUUGAUCUUUAGAAAAUUGAAAAUUUAGUGUACAAGUGAAAAUUAACGAUGAAGUUGGAAAGCCCUGCUAGCGAUCAUUCGUCAUAAUAAAAAUUAACAUACCUUUUGAAGCCGAUCUAAUGGGGUUGGGUAGGUUCUAAACAUGCUAGGUUCUUAAUUAGACUUGGAGAAAAUGGGGACGAUUCAUAAACACCACAAAAGCGUGAGAAAUAUAUCAAAACCUGUGGUAUGACCAGAAAGUACUGCUAUUGGCAAGCCACAUAUUAAUAUAAUCAAAUAAUUUAAAAUAAAUUAAAAGUGGGAAGUAAAUAAAUUUUAGGCUAAUAAAUUAUGAAUAUCCAAAAGAUUAAUUUGAGCCAGACAUAAGCCAUUAAAGAGACCGUGCUAGAAUCACGGGACUCGAGGGGUUCCUCACACCUUCCCUUCGGUCAAUAGAAUUCCUUAUCCGGAUUUCUAAACCGCAGAGUAAAAAUUAAGAGUCAUUUUUUUUAUUAGGGAUUCAAAAAGGUGACUUGGAACACCCAAACUCAAUUCCAAGUGGAGACUCUAUAAAUAAAAUAAUCCCUUUUCAAAACUUUACUUUAAUUGGAAAAACCCAUUUUCUCUAAAGCGAACUUCCUAACGGGGUUGGGGCGGUAAAAAUAAGGGUGUGACAGAUGGCGACUCUGCUGGGGAAUAAAACUAGAUUUCAAGCUUUUAUAUUGACUUGUUUGGAGUUGCUUAAUUUUUUUCGUAUAUUGUUGGAUUAAAUGUGUUAUCUGUAUACAUGUUUAAUUGCUUUGAUAUUAUUUGAAUUGUGAUAUAAACUGUCUUCUCUCGCGCACCCAUCUGAGUCUUCUGUGAUACUUUAUAUUCGGAGAUGUGGUAUACACUCUCGAGAUUGAGAUACCAGAGAUGCGACAAUACUCCUGGGAAGGAUUUUGUAGUCACCCAUGAUUUAGGACGGGAAGGGACCAACAGUGAGGAUGGAAAGUCCUGCUACCGAUAAAGUUGUCCCUGCCUGACUCAAUUUAUCUGCUCAUUUUACUGCCAGUCUAGAUACCUAACUCCACCAAGUUAAACCUAGCAUAACUAAAACUUAGACAUGGUCAUCCCUAUAAGGUUGCGCUUUAUUUGCAUUACGUGCAUUUUUUACUUAGUGGGGAUCAACACUGGGGUUGAUUCCAUCUAGGACAGGUGCCAUCCUUCGAGACAAUCAUGUACAUCUUAUGUGCUACUUGUUGCAUUAUAGGAAAUUCCAUAUCGAAUGUUGAUUGUCUUUUAAGUGAAUUAAUUGAUCUGAAAAAAAGGAGUUACAUAAAAAAUUUAAUGGCUUAUUUUAAAAAAUAUAUAGUAUUUUUACAUAGAACUUUUCUAUCCAGAUAGAAUCAUUUUAAUGUCAUUGUCUCGUUAUGUCCAUUUCUUUUAUUUUGAAAUCUCUUUACGAAUACCAUAGAGUCCAUUUUUGUUAAACACAGUUAAAAUUUUGUCAAACAAUUCAGUCCACUUUUUGUUUUAAUAAUCUAAUCAUUUCUAAUGGGUCUGGUCCAAACGUCAUCAAAAUAUUAUUCCCACUCUAGAAGACUUUGAUACUUCUUGUUUUGUUAGUUGCUAUUUUUCUCAUGCUCAUUUUGAAAUCUAAUUCUGCAUUAUUCCAUCAAGUUCUUUCAAAAAUUAUUUUUUUCUUUAUUUCGGGAUGUUUAAAAUAGAAUUCUUAUUUGCCAUCAUCCUAUAGGAAAAUAUGAGCUCAUUUAGAAGGAGUCACAAGAGGCCAAGGGAUGAUGAAGUACCUCAUUUGAUGGUGUUAGAUAAAGCUAUGGAUCUAUUGCAGACAUGGUAUAACAAUAUGACUGACUAUGGAUAGGGGAAAAUGUAUAAACACUUGGGAUUUUUAAGGAGCCUUUUGAAUGUUGAACCGCGAAGAGUUGUGAUAGAAUCUUUGGUACAGUUUUGGGAUCUGUCGAAUAAUGUAUUCUAAUUCUCUGACUUUGAGCUCACUCCCACACUGGAGAAAAUAUGAGAAUUUUUAGGAAAGGGAAAGAAUCUUCAUCGAGGAGAACCUAUGAUACCGAAGCAUGUCAUUGGCAAAAGUAUUUUUGCGCUGUUACUCAUAAAGGAGAAGAACAUAGAGGGCUGCCUAGAAAAUGGAUGGGUUUGUCUAGAGUUCUUGUACAAAAGAUAUGAUCAGAAAAUGGAUUUGAGUUGUUCGAAUUGAAACUUAACAACAGAGGGUGCUACUGUAAUGCCCCGCACUUUCCUAAGCUAGAAAACGAACCAUUGUUCGUAUAUGUGAAAACCCCAAUUUUAUAAGCCAUAUUUAGGAACCUAAAUUACCAAUAUUACCCUAGUUAUAAUAGAGCUUAUGAUGUGUUAAGUGUGAUUAUAUGAGUCAAUUAAGGUAGUACAAGCCAAGAGUUUCGAAAUCCAUCAAGUUUUAGUGUUUGAAUUCCAAAGGGUCAUCUUUGAAUGAACAUAGCUUGAUAAAUAUGUGGUAUUUCUGUAUAUUUCUACCCAUAAAAUUAUAGAGAAUCAAAUUACCUUUCCAACGAUACCAAUUUUACCAAAAUCUGACACCCGAGCUAGGAGUUAUGGCUUUGCGAAGUAGAGUACGUUGCCUAAUCAAUCGCACAUGGACACUAGAAAGCAUAUGCGAUAGCAUAUGCGGCGCCUAUGCAAGUAUAGGCGAUAGCAUAUGUGGAUCCUAUGUAAAUAUAGGCGGUAUCAUAUGCGGCGCCUAUGUAAAUAUGGAUGAUAUCAUAUGCAAUGCCUAUGUUAUGGUUUCAAGUGACUUAAACACUCCAUUUUUGGAUUAUUUUGAGGGAAAUUAAGUCUUUUGGCACUCCUUACACACCCCAAAACUUAAACUUAUGAAUUUAAUAGAUUCUAAACACAUCAUAACCCUAUUAACAGUCUAAGUUCAUCAUCCAAGAUCACAAAAGGAGAAAAGCAACUAGGGUUACACAAUCAACAUUAAGGGUCCAAUAUUUUAACGAAUCCAUUACCAUAAAGGUAUGUGGGGUUAUGAACAAGAACACCCUUUCAUUCUUGUGCACAAAGUUUGCAUUAUUUUAAAAAGAUACAUGAUUUUUACAUGUUUUAUCAUGAAUUUGAAGUGAUAAAUCUUAUCCUAUGUUGUUGUUCAAGAUACUAUGAUUAUUUUGAAUGUUUAGAAAAUAAACUCCAUGAGUUUGAGAUUAUUGUUAUGAUUAAAGGCUUAAAUUUUUCAAAUUUCCGUAUAAAUUAUGCAUGCCUGUGAUAUAAAGCAUAAAUGUUGAAAUGUUUUGAUUAAGUAUCACUAUAAGGGUCAUUAACCCACAUUGAGAUUGUUGUUUUGAGAAUUUAUGUGCUACAUGCACCCAUGUUUAGACUAUUUUUGAUGAAGUAUAGAAAGAUUUGACCUUUUGGUCACAACAGAGUUAAAAUUCACUUUAUGAAACGAGUUAUGGAUUUUAUCAUUUAUUUAACUUAAGAAAUAUGAGAUUACCCUUAAAGUGAAUUUUUAUUGAGAUUUUUGAGCUUAGUAUUGGGAGUAGUAUUUAGCACCAAGUUGGGUAUGUUACUACGGUUUCAUACCCCAGAACUACGUGCCACCGUUAGUUGAGACAUUGACUUCCACUAUAUGUGGAAAAUUGAGAUAGUAAUCACUGAGAUGAUAUUGUUCUACACCGAUGGCAAGGGUAGGAAAGCCCUAAUCUUAUAGGGGAAAUUCGUGGGACAUCAUGGGUGCUCACAUGGUGUACAUAUCGGUUAGAAGAACCUCCCAAAGAGUAGUCCCUCAUUCUUAGAUUGAUUUUACUGAUUUAAAAGAGAUUUGAAAUGCAGAUUUAUGAUGUAUUCAAUANNNNNNNNNNNNNNNNNNNNNNNNNNNNNNNNNNNNNNNNNNNNNNNNNNNNNNNNNNNNNNNNNNNNNNNNNNNNNNNNNNNNNNNNNNNNNNNNNNNNNNNNNNNNNNNNNNNNNNNNNNNNNNNNNNNNNNNNNNNNNNAAAUAUAUAUAUAUAUAUAUAUGUAUGUAUAUAUAUAUAUAUGCAUAUAAAUAUGUUUAUUUCAUGCACCCCCAUGUACUCGGUACAUAUUCCAUGAUACUGACCCACAUGUUCGUAUGUAGGCUACAUUUUCCCUAUAAUGUAGGUUCAGAUGCUCAUUCCCAGGUUUGACCAUGAUUAUUCGAGCACGUUGAUCUACAUCCUCUGCAGUGGUGAGUCCUCAUGGUCCAGGGACUAGUUAUUCAGAUUUCCUCAUUUACUUUGAGUUAUUCAGUUUAUUUCCUGAGUUUGGGUCAGUUGGGGUUGUCCCAAUGGCUCAUGGAUAUACAGUUUAG